rnacentral:rRNA from 1 species
UUGGAUUCGCUAGUAAUCGCGCAUCAGCCAUGGCGCGGUGAAUACGUUCCCGGGCCUUGUACACACCGCCCGUCAAGCCAUGGGAGCCGGGGGCGCCUGAAGUCCGGGACCGCGAGGACCGGCCUAGGGCGAAACUGGUAACUGGGGCUAAGUCGUAACAAGGUACC